rnacentral:rRNA from 1 species
UUCCGGUUGAUCCUGCCGGACCUGACUGCUAUCGGAUUGAUACUAAGCCAUGCUAGUCUUUGUAGUAAUACAAGGCAUACGGCUCAGUAACGCGUAGUCAACCUACCCUAUGGACAAGAAUAAUCUCGGGAAACUGAGCAUAAUUCUUGAUAGAUCAUAAUGCCUGGAAUGGUUUAUGGUUAAAAUGAUUCGUCGCCAUAGGAUGGGACUGCGGCCUAUCAGCUUGUUGGUGAGGUAAUGGCCCACCAAGGCGAUUACAGGUACGGGCUCUGAGAGGAGAAGCCCGGAGAUGGGUACUGAGACAAGGACCCAGGCCCUAUGGGGCGCAGCAGGCGAGAAAACUUUGCAAUGUGCGAAAGCACGACAAGGUUAGUCCGAGUGAUUUCUGCUAAAGAGAUCUUUUGCUAGUUAUAAAACCACUAGUGAAUAAGGGGUGGGCAAGUUCUGGUGUCAGCCGCCGCGGUAAAACCAGCACCUCAAGUGGUCAGGAUGAUUAUUGGGCCUAAAGCAUCCGUAGCCGGCUCUGUAAGUUUUCGGUUAAAUCCAUACGCUCAACGUAUGGGCUGCCGAAAAUACUGCAGAGAUAGGGAGUGGGAGAGGUAGACGGUACUCGGUAGGAAGGGGUAAAAUCCUUUGAUCUAUCGAUGACCACCUGUGGCGAAGGCGGUCUACCAGAACACGUUCGACGGUGAGGGAUGAAAGCUGGGGGAGCAAACCGGAUUAGAUACCCGGGUAGUCCCAGCUGUAAACGAUGCAGACUCGAUGAUGCAUUGGCAUAUAGCCAGUGCAGUGUCGCAGGGAAGCCGUUAAGUCUGCCGCCUGGGAAGUACGUACGCAAGUAUGAAACUUAAAGGAAUUGGCGGGGGAGCACCACAAGGGGUGAAGCCUGCGGUUCAAUUGGAUUCAACGCCGGG